rnacentral:rRNA from 1 species
AUUGAACGCUGGCGGAAUGCUUUACACAUGCAAGUCGAGCGGCAGCGCGGGGGCAACCCUGGCGGCGAGCGGCGAACGGGUGAGUAACAUAUCGGAACGUACCCCGUCGUGGGGGAUAACACAGCGAAAGCUGUGCUAAUACCGCAUACGACCUGAGGGUGAAAGCGGGGGAUCGCAAGACCUCGCGCGAUGGGAGCGGCCGAUAUCGGAUUAGCUUGUUGGUGAGGUAAAGGCUCACCAAGGCGACGAUCCGUAGCUGGUCUGAGAGGACGACCAGCCACACUGGAACUGAGACACGGUCCAGACUCCUACGGGAGGCAGCAGUGGGGAAUUUUGGGACAAUGGGGGGCAACCCUGAUCCAGCCAUGCCGCGUGAGUGAAGAAGGCCUC